GUAAAUGAGCAGCUGGUUUGCAGCAAAACCGCACCUCACUCUGCACCUUUGGAUCCCUCUCAGCCUGAGGUUAGCACAGCCAAUGUCCUCACCAGCGUCUGCCAAAGCCCAUGGAGAAGGCCAGCAGGAGCAUAUCACUGUGACUUACAACCCUUCUCUAGUCUGCUACAAUGGAAUCUUAAACAAGAAAAUUUUAUAUUUUGACUUGCAUCAUUGAGAAAAACACUGCCAACCUGAUCGUGGUUCCUUUGAAGAAUCACUGCAGCAGGUGCGAGAGAGGACUCAUGGAGCUUGCAGAUGAGCUAGCCCAGGUAGGACAUCUGAUGUUGGGACCCUCUUCAGAAGUGAAGCAUAUAUAAUCCCACAUGAAAUCUCUCAAGCCAUUCCAGAAGAAUGUUUUCUCAGAUAAAGGUUAUUUACCUAUUUAUAAUAAUUUAUAAUUUACAAAGCAUAUUCAUAUAUAUGAUCCCAUCUAACUCAUAAAAUUAUAUGAAAUGUAUACUAUCUCCAUUUUACAGAUGGGGAAAUUGAGCCUCAGAGUGAUAAAGUAACUUCCCCAAAGUCAUGUAGCUAGUAAAUGAAAGUGAUGAGACUCACACUAGGUUCUUCUAAGUUUUUAGAGUACUUCGUCCACGGCGCCAAGGUGUCUAGGGCAGAGACACCACAACCUCCUAAGGUAGGUUAUGCCAUUAAUGUUCCACUUGGGUGGGAAUACACACACACCCACACACACACUAUAAUUCACACUUCCUUAUAGUUAUAUUCCUCAUUCUUUGAACUUAAUCCAUGGUAAAGAAUUAUUUAUUAUGGUGGGGUAGAAGGAGACCCUUUGAGAUUUGAAGACACUGAUUAACCAUGUUAGUGUUUUUCCUCAGGCAAAAUAUUCAUGGGCUCUUUUACCAUAACUUGCUGUCCUUAUUUCCUCAUUAAAUUUCAAGUUUCCACAAAAUAAGAAAAGAAACAACUAAAGAAGAAAUUGUUGGAAGGCAUGGAGCAAAGUGUAAGAACAACUAAGUAAACAUGUACAUUUUGCAUUUUUAAAAAAUUCAGUGGCCAUAAUACCACUGGCCAACAGGCUGAUCAAAUAAUCCCUGAAACAAAGAGUUAUAUGUUACGGAGGGGAUUGAAUCAGAAUACAGAAAAGAGAGACUUGAGAGGUUAAGACAAAACAUCCUGGGAAAUACACCUAUUAAAAUAUGGUAACUAGCUGUUCUCCAUUUCUUUCAAGACAGAAUGGGAAAUGGAGGUAAACACAGCAAGAGUAUUAGUCGGUUAGACAACAGGAAUAUUUUGCUGAUUUUUGUUGUUGUUGUUUUGUUUUUGUUUUUGUUUUUGAGACAGUGUCUUGCUGCGACACCCAGGCUGGAGUGCAAUGGCAUAAUCUCGGCUCACUGCAACCUCCGCUUCCCGGGUUCAAACAAUUCUUCUGCCUUAGCCUCCCUAGUAGCUGGGACUACAGGUGUGCACCACCACACCUGGCUAAUUUUUUUUUUUAUAUAUAUUUUUAAUAGAGAUGGGAUUUUAUCAUAUUGGCCAGGCUGGUCUCAAACUCCUGACCUCAAGUGAUCUGCCUGCCUAGCCUCCGAAAGUGCUGGGAUUACAGGCGUAAGCCAUUGCUCCUGGCCUUUGCUGAUUUUAAUGAGGGAUUUGAAAGCAUCAAAAUGACUGAACAAAGGAGCAGUGAAAAAUCUUUCCUGGGGUCUUUGGAAAAAAAACAGAUUCCAGUGUGUCAGAUCUUUCAAGGCAAGAUGGUCCAAGAGCAACGAAUGGACAGUUGCCUUCAUGUCCUUCUGUGUUUUCUUUCUUGUUUAACAGCAUCAAGGUACAUCCACUCAUUUAAGUGGGAGCCUGAAUGUCAUCGUCCACUCACUCAUCUCCAUAGCCCUUCAUGUUCUUAUUUAAAACCUCCUUCACCCUUCCCAUGUAUCCUACAAUCCAGUUACUAUUUACCAUACACAAACCCAUCCAUUUGUCUUUACUUUCUAUAACCUCAUAUUAGAAGUGAUGAUGUAUUUGUUCAUUCAGUUUUUAUUUGGUGCUAUGAUGUGUUCUCCUCUCCCUGCCUCCAUGUUUUUAACACUUGCUUUUUCUAUGGAAUGUUCUUUGACUCUAUGGGCACCUGGUGAAUUCUUUCUCGUCUUUUGUGAUGCGGAUCAUAUGCUAUCUUCUCAAGAAAGCCUUCCCCCCCAAACCUAGCAUUUUCCCCUUUCUUUUAGAGAAAGCAGCUUUAUUUUUUUAGAGGCAAUCUCUUUUAUCUGCAUAUUUGCGCUUUGGGCCACAAGUGUCGUGGACAGUUUAUACAAGGUCCAAAAAAUAAUAAGAAGAAUUAAAUUGGCUUUGUAACAGAUGAUUCUGGGCAAGAGACCAAUACUGAGAGAUUUAACAAUUUUAUCAUGAAUUAGCUAAGAAAUAAAUACUAACUAUAACAGAACUAAUUUAAAAAACUAGAAAUAAUAUAAAAUAAUGAAACCACCUUUGCAAAAAUUGUAACAGUGAGAAAAUUAUGACAGUGAAAGAGAUCUGACCUAAGUGACUCCAUCUUGCUUCCAACCUCCAACCUGUCCUCGUUCAUUCCUGGGCAUAGGCCAAACUAACUUUGGGAGGAACUUAGUUUAUAGUUUCAACUUUGAAACAAAGAUGAUAACAGCUCUUUCCUGAAACAAACCCUCUUCUUGCUUUAUAGGACUAACAAAUUAGCCACAAGUUUAGAAAUUAUGGUUUAGGAGUUAGGCAGCGAGAGGUCACAGAUUCCAAACCUCCCCAUUUACAAUAGGGAUGACAUCACUAUUGUAAAAUCUAAGAUUGGUGCUCAGAAUAUUUUUCAGACCCUGAACUUGAUGGGUCAGCUGCCACCACGCAGAUGGAUAAAGUGGCUUAUCUGGUACUGUGGCCCCCACUCAGGAACUGACUCAGCGCAAAGAAGACAGCUUCAACUCCCUAUGAUUUCAUCUCCAAUGGGACCAAUCAUCACUCCCCAGUCCCUGGCCUCCUAUGCACCAAAUUAUCCUUAAAAAACCCCAGUCUCUUAAUUGUCAGUCUCUCCAAUCUCUGAAUUUCCAGAAAGAGUUUAAUUCAUGCAGAGGCAGCUGAACUGAUUUGAGUAUGAAUUAAACUCUUUCUCUAUUGCAAUUCCUCUGUCUUGAUGAAUCGGCUUUAUCUGGGCAGUGGGCACAAUGAAUCCUUGGGCGGUUACAAUAAAACUGAAAAUAGAUAAAAACUGUGUGUGGCAAGAUUUAGAUCUAUAAAUUUUGACCUUGGAAAAUAGAACUCCAUAAAAAUAAUGCCCCCAAAAUAAAACUCACAGUAGUAGAAGCUGUUAUAGUAAAAUUUGAAUUGAACAAAAGACUGUUAAAACAGGACUGUGUUGAUAAGUUACACAUAAAUGAAUUCAUCCGGAUCAAAAUAAUUUUAGUAUUUUUACUCAUGACAUUGUAUUCAUGUUUAUUUAUGACAACAUAAAUAGUAAUUUUAUUCACAUGACAAAAUUGGAAAUACUUUAAGUGUGCUAUGUAGAAAACUAAUCAAGGAAUUAAUUUGGGUUAAUGAAAUUAAUUGUUAAAAGUAAUUUCUUGUCAACAACUUUUGUUGCUGGUAUAAUUGUUACAUGCCAGGUUCUGGUCUGUUCUACCUUCAAGCAGUAAAUCAAUCACUAUGAUUCAGGUUUUGCAAAAGAGAAAAGAUUUAUUCGAAAGGACACCCAGCGAGGAGGCGGUGGGAGAACAGCUCUCAAAUCUGCCUCCCCAAAGAUAAAGCUUAAGGGUAUUUAUGGGUUAGGGAAGUGAGGUGGUCUAAGGUGUGGGGAAAGGUGGUUGCUAGUGGGGAAAAAUGAAGUAACAGGUUCAUUCUGCAACAGCCUAGCUGGAGUUUGUGGCAUUCCACAGCACAUAUGUACAGAAAAUGGCAGCAUUAGCAUGGACUGAGGAUGGAGUCUUUGGCCCUCCAACAUAAAAAGGCCGCCUCUCCAGCACUUGAGCAGACCCAGUUAAAAGGUCAGUGGUCUCAACCAGUUUGAACUGGACAGAAGCAGGUCCAAGUUUCUGAAAAACAACUGAAGUAACCGUUACCAUGGUGACCUGUGAAUGUUAUCUAUAAAGUAGCUGGUGAAGGUUACGUUUCAGCAUUCAGUGGCAUGCCCUUCAGUGAUUGCAGACUUCAACUUCAGGGAGAGAUAAAAAAUAACAAAAAGCAAGCAACCAAAAGCAAGCAGGACAGGCAGACCUGACCAAACUAACCCCUCAGUUUUAUAAUUCUAAUUUUAAUGUUUGUAUUCAUUAACACAGAAUCACAGCACUCCCAGGACAAAAGUGAGGGUAAAAAAACUACAAAAUAGUAAUAGCAGGACAAAAACAUCUACUGUUGCUCCAGCACAGAGUAAGCUUUUGAUUAAUGAUUUUUGAGAAAGGAAAUGAAUAUUUAAACAAUGUGAUGUUUGUUAAUCACUUUCUAACUAUAAGCCCACUAACUAAAAUCUGCCUGAAAUUCACUUAUCAAAUCUGCAAUAUUUAAUGCAAGAUUAGAUUGAUUGUUUUAAUCCUCUGAAAGUUUUGCAUUACUUUGGAUACUUUCCCCUUUCUGUUAGUUUUCUUUUGAGCAUUUCAAGGAGUUUUAAAUUCCAAUUUAUCUAUGGAUCCUUCUGCCUUAAUUUCAAGCAAACAAGCAAAUUAUAUACUAUAAUUCAGGAAAUGAGAGUGUUCAGUGUAAGUCAAUCAUACAGAGAAAAAAGGCAACUUUUUCUUCAAGAUUAGAGAAACCACUAUCAUAACAUUUAAUAUUUCUCCAUCAUUUCAUUGAUCCUUCUGCAAAGGAAGAGAACUUUGAGACAUAAAUCCAUCUCUUUCCUUUCUUGGUUUUAUGGAAGCAACUAGAUGCUUGCUUCACACCAUAAUGCUAAGUACAAGUAGUAUAAAAAUUUGAAUAUAUAAAAAACUCACUAAAAAACCUGGAAGGAAAUAUAAUUAAAUACUGAUCUAAAAUUUUGAAUGGAGAACUUCUGAGGCAAAAGUGAUAAGUUAUGAGCCCUCUGUCCCACCCCAAUGUUUUAUUAAGCCUGCAGUGUUUCCUUUGAAGGAUGUUGUAUGUAAUAAUCUGGAUUCUGGAAAAAUUCAGAUCUUGCCACAGUGGGCCUAUUCUUAUCAACAACAAAUUGGAAUUUAGUGGUGUUCCUCCUGUUUGGACAAGCUGCAAGUUCUUCCCAGUUUCAAGACUACCUGUUGCCUUGUAUCGGGCCCACAUCAGCCCCACAUCAGCCCCACAUCAGCCCAUUGUAUUAUCUCUCUGACCAGUGGUGGAGUUUGAGCUUGUGGACUUUGUCUACAUCAUAGAAGAAGUCAUGAAGAGAAAGAUGACAUAUCUGACUAACAUCAAGUGGAAAACUUUGGUAUAUAAAAAUAAGCCACUUCACUUAUUUUUAACAAGUAACUGAUUAGAAAAAUGAGCAAAUACAAGAGUCAACCAUAUAUUAAAUUUAUGAUAUCAAGAGUUCAUCAAAAAUACCAAUAUCUUAAGGGACAAAAGGAUAAGAACUCAAUUGAUAGAAGAGGAAACACCAUCCAAAAGCAUUCAAACUCAUUAGUAACCAAACAAUAGUUUUAAAACAAUUACAUAUGAUUUCUGAUCCAUUAAAUUAAAAAAAUUAAAGUAUAACAUCAAUGCUAAUACUCCAUUGUUGGCUGGAAAGUAGUUUGGCAAUAUGUACCAAAAGCUUUCAAAAUGUUUAUUCCCUUUAAUGUGGAGUCCCUAUACUCACACAGAUCCCAGAGUCCAAGGGCCUGGAUUCAAAUCCAGACUCCUCCAUUUAUCAACGAUGUAAACAGGGGUAAUGUAAACCAGCACAUCUCGAUUUCCUCAUCUCUAAAAUGAGAAUAAUCAUAAUAGUACUUACAUUAUUGGAUUACUGUGAUGAUUAAAUGAAUAAUAGGACUUUUGGGAACAGUGCCUAGCAAACAGUGGUACAAUAUAAGUUUGCUAAAUGAAUAGAUUUAUCUAUUUUAAAAAUUUACUUGAGGAAGCUACCAACUGAGAAAAGGAUUUAUGCAGAAAAUUGUGUAUUAUAGUACUAUUUAUAAUAUUUAUAAUAGCAAAAAAUUAAGAGCUAUAAUAGAGAAUGAUUAGCUAUUUCAUAGAAAAUGAAAUUAAUGAAAUGUGAUGCAGUCAUUAAAAUUAUGUUUAUGAACUUUGUGUAAUAAUGUUGAAAUCAUAAUUUUAAGUGAAAUAAAAAGCAAAAUAUAUACCAGCAUAUUUGGCAUAUUACAAUAAUUAAAUUACAAUAAUUAAAUUUUUAUUUAAAUUACAAUAGAUUUAGAUUACAAUAAUUAAAAAGAAAUUUUCUUUGCUUUGGAAGGAAGAUUAGAUAAAGGAUUGGAAGGAAGUCAGCCAAAAUGUUAAGAGUAGCUGCUUACAGAUAGUGGAGCUAUAAACGAUUUAUUUUUUAAUGUUCUUCUCUAUUUUCUAUUUGUUUUUAAACUCAGCAUUCUUUAGUUUUGUAUAUUUUUUAAUUCACAUUUUUAAGGUAGAAAGUGAUACUUUGUGUAAGGAUUUGGAAGGCUUAAACUCAUGGUAUAAUUAACCAAAAUACAUCAAAUUUAAUAAUUCUUAGAUAUACAAACUUCAGAAGUCAUAUUCUGAGAUAAUUUCUUUAAAUAUUAAAAUUAAGAGAAAAAAAGACAGGCUCUUAAGCAGAUGCAAAAAUACCUAUGUUACAAGCCUGCACAUUCUGCACAUGUAUCCCAGAACUUAAAGUAAAAUAAAAAAAAUAAUAAUAAGAUCAUGCCAGUGGUUUUUAAACAUACUUUAUGUAUUUAAUUGAAAAUCACAUCUCCUUUACCUUCUUUCAGCAUAUAUUGUACUUAAAACUCUGAACAUUAGCCCUCAGAAUAAGGAAAUGAAUAAUAAAAAAAGCAAAAAUAGAAAACUCUAAAAUAACUGAAAUAAUCUAAUCACAUAUAAGAUGUAAUGAAUUUAAUAAAUGUGAACUUAUAUUUAUAUACAAUUUAUAUACAUAUUGAAAAUUAAUCACUUAGGCUCACAAGAGAAUUCGUUUUAGGAUACUUUGUCUGCUCCCUUUAGGCCUUGAUGGAAUUAAUGUCUAAAUAGCUUUUGAGAUUGUUAUGGAAACUAAAAGGAUACUGGUAUCAAAUAUCUGGCUAUGUCUUACCUACAUUUCUUCUGGUCUUAUUUAUGUUGUCCCAGCCUCACCAAAAAUUGAGAUUUAUGUUUAACCUUUUGUUUACCAUGUGAUGGACAAAUUUGGCAAGUUUGUCAAUUUAUAAUAGUAUUUUCUAUUGUAUCAUCUAGACCUUUUUUGAGGUAAAUAUGAUUUCUUUCCCUUUUCUCCAUCAAUUCUAGAUUUUGCCCUCUUGUAGUUUCUUCCACUGCAAAUUCUCCGUAUCUCUGCAAUUGAGGAGCCCUGAACUACACUUCACAUUUAAUGAUGAUCUGACUGACACUUUGAGGGAUUUUGCUUGGCAUGCCACAUUUUUACUGCUAUCGAAAAGGCAAAAGUACAUGCUCUGUUCACAAGGAAACUUCUCUAGCAUCCACAUGAGUGGGAGAUAGCAGAUAAGCUUAUGGAUCUCAUAUCCACUUAUUCUUUCCACCUAAAUACUUGAUAGUUGUUUAUCAUCUUCCCUCCAGAGUCCCAAUCUAAAUUACAAAUAAAUUAAAUAUCAAACAAAUCUUGGAAUAGAUUCCUUCUCCUGACAGUAGCCACCCCUAGAAGGUACUUUAAAUAAUUUGUAAAAACAAACAAAAAAAUACCCAUUCUGUCACCAAAAAAAAAAAAAAACACCCUAAAAGGUAGAGAGAAAACAUAGUUGAAAAGUGACCAGUUACUCCACACAUAGAUUAGGACCUGCAUAUUAAGAGUGUGGUUAUUUGUACAAGAUGAAUUUGUAGGAAAUUGUACAGAAGGACUUUGUCAUUGAUGAUGGCAAGACUGAGCAUUAGACUGGAUUUUUUCAAUAGUCUUAGCAGGACUAUGGUUAAUGUGAACUACAGUGCUGUUUAUGUUGUCUUGAAAAAUUGUACUGAUGGUAAAAAUAAACAAAGAUAAGGGGAUGAGAUACUGUAAUCAUAUGGGAGAUCUUGAAUUAAAGAGUUAUCUAAUCAAUGACAUAAAUAGUAUUAGGAAGUGAAAUUGAUACAAACAUACCUUGUUUUUUGUCCUUUGCUUUAUUGCACGUCACAGAUAGUUUUUUACAAAUUGAAGGUUUGUGGCAACCCUGCAUUAAGCAAGUCUGUUGGCACCAUUUUCCCAACAGCAUGUGCUCACUUUGUGUCUCUGUGUCACAUUUUGGUAGGUCUCACAAUAUUUCAAACUUUUAUUACUAUUAUUAUUAUUAUUAUUAUUGUUAUCUGUUAUGGUGAUCUGCCUUUAGUAUUUUUGAUGUUACUGUUGUAAUUGUUUUGGGGCAUCACGGACCACAACCAUCUAAGAAGACAAACAAUAAAUGUAUUUGUUCUAACUGCU